GACGAACGCUGGCGGCGUGCUUAACACAUGCAAGUCGAACGGAAAGGCCCUGCUUUUGCUGGUCGCUCGAUUGGCGAACGGGUGAGUAACACGUGUGUAUCCUGCCCCUGACUUUGUGAUAACUCCAGGAAACUGGGGCUCAUACCGCAUAGGAGCUCCUGCUGCAUGUUGUGGGUUGGUAAGUUUCGGCGGUUGGGGAUGGACUCGCGGCUUAUCCGCUUGUUUGUGUGGUAGUGGCUUACCAAGGCUUUGACGGGUAGCCGGCCUGAGAGGGGGACCGGCGACAUUGGGACUGAGAUACGGCCCAGACUCCUACGGGAGGCAGCAGUGGGGAAUAUUGCACAAUGGGCGGAAGCCUGAUGCAGCAACGCCGCGUGCGGGAUGACGGCCUUCGGGUGGAAAACCGCUUUCGCCUGUGACGAAGCGUGAGUGACGGUAAUGGGUAAAGAAGCACCGGCUAACUACGUG
rnacentral:rRNA from 1 species